GACGAACGCUGGCGGCGUGCUUAACACAUGCAAGUCGAACGGAAAGGCCCUGCUUGCAGGGUACUCGAGUGUCGAACGGGUGUGUAACACGCGUGUGAUCUGCCCUGUACUUCGUGAUAAGCCUUCGAAACUGUGUCUAAUACCGCAUAUGAGCCCUCCUUAUGGUGAUGGUUGGAAAGUUUUUUCGGUGUAGGAUGAGUUUGCGGCCUAUCAGCUUGUUGGUGGGGUAAGGGGCUACCAACGCGGCGGCGGGUAGGCGGGCUGAGAGGGUGGACGGCCAACUUGGGGCUGGGGAUACGGCCAGGAUCCUACGGGAAGGAAGAGGUGGGAAUAAUGCAACAAGGGCCGAAAGCUGAUGCAAGGAAGGCGGGUGGGGGAUGACGGCCUUCGGGUUGUAAACUCCUUUCGGUAGGGGACGAGCUUUUUGUGACGGUAACGAGUUAAGAAGCACCGGCUAACUACGUG
rnacentral:rRNA from 1 species